rnacentral:lncRNA from 1 species
GUGGACCUCUUCAACUAACAUGGAAUUACAAUUACGGGGCGGCUGGAGGGGCAAACAACUUUGAUGGACUAAACUCUCCUGAAACUGUGGCCAAUGAUCCUGUUGUGUCGUUCAAGACUGCCUUAUGGUUUUGGAUGACUAAUGUCCGCCCUGUGGUCACUCAAGGGUUUGGUGCAACGAUUAGAGCCAUUAAUGGUGCAGUUGAAUGUAAUGGUGGAAAUUCUGGUGCUGUUCAAGCUCGAAUUGGGUAUUACACAGAUUAUUGUAACCAGUUUGGCGUUGCACCUGGCGACAAUCUAAGCUGUUAGGUUACAUUAUGCAUAUUAUAGUAUAGCAAAGAAAUGAAAUGGAAUCUACCUUCUGCCAUUUCUCGAAUGUAAGGUGGGAUACCCAGUGGUGUUCUGUAACUCUCGAUCGAGUUCGAUGUAUUUCUUGGAAUGGAUUUUACCAAUAAAUAAAUGAAAUAAAGGCAUCACAUAAUUGAUUUUGCUUAUCAUGUAUUUGCUGGCUUAAUUCGUUGUUAUGUUCAUUGCAAUUGCAAGUUUCUUGUUUAGUUUUUUUUUUUUAUUUAUAAUCUUUAAUCUUUAAUCACUAAUGAAAGUUUUGCUCUUGGGCAGAACCUCCUCAACCAUAAUUAAUUCCCCUCUGCCAUAAUCAUGUUUUGCGUUGUGAUCUCUAGCCAUAGUUGUUCAGCAACAUAUAUAUAUAUAUAAAAAAAAAAAAAACAAGGAACAAUAGGAUAUGACACCAACUAGCACAAUUUAAACUAAUUAGACUGGGAAUAAAAAAACAGGGGAAGAUAGAAUUCACCAAAAGGGCCAAACAAAGAACCCUAGCUGCAUUGUUAUUUUCAGAAUAAUAUUCUUCCACCAAAAUCUACAUCAUAAAAAUAUUUGCAAUAAUUUAAAUAACCUCAAUCAAAAUGGAAAAAAUAAUCCUACAUAGACAGAAAAAUUAAAAGCUAAAAUUUGAAAUAAAUAAAAACUAAAACUAAAAAAUUAACAUUUUUAAAAUUUAAUUUGAAAAUCUUUCUAACCUCAACUUAUUACAACGAGACAAUAUUCCACUAUAGAAUAUGCCUGCAGAAUCUUUUAAUGAAAUUUAAACAUGAUUCAAUAAUUAAAUAAAAAAUUAUGUUUAUUUUCAUUAAACAUAUUGUUUAGAGGAACUAAACUUUUUCUUGAGUUUGGAUUUUUUAUGCGAUCCAUAAAUAUAUAUCUGCUAGGUUUUUCAUAUACUCUAGUUACAACAAAUUUAUAUUUGAUUAUGAUUAUUAUUCUUGUAGAUUAAUAUUAGCAAUAACGAACAAUAUUUGUAUGGGAAAUUAAAUUCCUUAUAACUAACUUACCCAACUCUCAAGCCCUAGAUGUACAUGGUGUGGUAAAGGAUUUAAAAGAUAUGGUAUUAGUGUAUGGGAAAGAAAUUAAAAUAAAUUAAGAACUUGGCUCUGCCUCGGUGCUCAGUACCAUUUGAUUUCUAACAUCUAUGCUUCUAGAAAUUUUGAACUCAUAGUUUGUCCAAAGUUUUUUUUAGCAGCCUUCCUUGAUGAUCUAUAUGAAACGAACAAUGAAGUCAUUGAGAAGCCUACAACACUUAUGGCGCGUUGAGUGGAAGAAAUUAUCAAAGCCUACAACACUAAUGAAAUUUUAAUUAUUACAUAGGAAAACCCAAAGUUUACAACACGUUAUUCAAUGAACUGUAAUAUAAAUGGAUAUUUGCAAACAACAUUCUCUCUAUUAUUUUCUAACAUACCAAAGAAAAUUUACGAAGCCAACAUUAUCGAUCGCAUAAUCCAUUAUCUGUCGGAGUCUCGGUACUAGAGGGAUUUGAUUCCAAAUCACACAAGCCUAGUAACUUUACUAAUCAGCUCUCUUUUUAGGUUUCUUUCGAGUUUUUUAUUAGUAAUUCUUCUCCAAUUUGUCGUCUCAAGCUGGUUUUUACUGUCUAUUUGCUGAUCAAGUCAAAGAAAAGAACAUGCAAUUCCCCCUAUUUAUAGGUUAUGGAAGAAGGUAAUAUUUUCUUCACUUUGAGAAAAUUUUCAAUCCUUAAUUCGGAUGGAAAUGAUCACAACCGUUGACUUAAAAUAGGCAGCAUGAACUGUAUAAAUUUGACAGUUAGUGGCUGCUUGAGCUGGCCUCUUUAGGUUGGCACCGCGACCUCUAUGGUGUUAAUCAACCUAAACAGACCAUACCAGGGUGUAAAAGGAUGUCAGGUGAUCAUUUACAUGCAAGUUUUAGUGAAGGUUAGAUGCAUUAAAUGCACCUAUGAAGUUGUUUUUCUAAGCUAUCAUUUCAGUGAAAAUUAAAGAAGAAGAUGAACAAUAACCAAAACAGCGCCAUUUUGGUAACAUUCACUUUAGCCAUUUGAUUUCUAAUUUGUCUCAAUUACACCCUUGAUUGACUUCAAAUUUUUAAUUUUAUGUAAUCUCAUCCCUAGAAAAACCUCAAUGUCAGCCUCGGAUAUCGCAAUGACCGAUUAAAAAUAAUCUAAGAAAAGAAAAGAUAUCAAACAUCUUAAUCUGUGGGGAAAAGGUCUAGUUUAAGGAGUUACCACCUAGUAUUACAGUCAGACCAACCCUAACUGAUCAACAGAGAUUAUAUUGUACGGGACUGGUUACGCGAAAUGAGAGAUAUUAUCACCCCUUAAACGCCUUACUUAAAGCAAACUACAUUGUUGGUUUUGUUUUAAAUUGCUAAGAUUUCGUCUUUGUUCCAUUUUUAAGGUCAUCCUAUAAUAUUCUCAACUCUGACGUAAAUAGUUAUUCCCCUAUAAAUAUUUUCAAUUCUAGCGUUGGUAAAUAUUGUGCAAUCCAUAAAGUACGGUAAUCCUAACUAUGACGUUAGGGAAUGAGUCUGCAAAUUUUAAAUUUUAAAAAAGAAAGAAACAAUUUUUUUAUUUUUUUCUGGCCGGAUCUAGGUUAGCUAUACAGGUCGGGCUUGAUCCAGCUAGCAUGAGCUUGGUCACUGAAAUGCAACAAGCAUACGUCAAUUAUAAUUCACGUAUGCGUGUAUAGCAAGAAUGUAAUUAAAAUGACAAUGGUUAAGGGCCAAGAAUAAAAUUAAAAAUAAAAGAAUAAGAAUUAAAUUUGAAGUAUCAAUAACUAAAAUGACAACAUUGAAAUUCUAAAUGGCUGGUGCGAUUUUCGAGAGAAGAAGAGAGAGAAAAGAGAAAGAAAAAAAAAAACUCACCAACAACAAUUCAUCAUACCACCAUCACCACAUGCCACACCACAAAAAAUAAUAAGAUGUAAAGAUUUCAACAACAUAACGGAAGAGCUUUUUAACCACUGUGACGCAUUGUGCGUGCUAACAGAGGUUAUGGGCGCCUCCCACACGUUGGAGUAUGAAUUGUGUAUAUCAUCAACUUUUCUAUUUUAAUAUUAUUUAAUUUUUAUUAAAAUAUUAAAUUACCAUCAACCAAUUUGAUGAUAACAGAUAAAAAAAAAAACAUAGUAAAAAAACAUAAAAGCUUCUAUAUGCAAGCUUUAGAAAUUUUGCAAGUCUUUUUAUUGCUCUUAAAAUAGUGAAUUGAUGUGAAAGCCCUUAAAAGUUAGUUUCAAUAAUUUUGCUUUGAAGGGUAAAAAAAAUUAAAAAAGACAAGCGGUCAAUAUUAUAAUUAAUAAUAAAUCAUGUACGAAAAGAAAAAAAAAAUCCCCAAUGUAAAAGCCAUUGGUUUUUUUAAGAAGGGUAAAUAGAUAAUUAUACUAUAGCAUAGUAAAUUAUUUAUAUGACAUAGUAUCUUCACCUUUUGUUUUAGCUUUAUCUUGUUUUCUGUUAUAUUGCUAGACAUCUUUUAACCGCAGCUAAUAGUAUUCACAGCAACAAAUAUAACUAAAAGCAACCAAGUAAUCACUACAUAGAUCCUUAAUGUGUUAUUAAAUAUUAUAAGAGAUUUAAAUAAAAAAAAUAUAUAAAACGGUUCAUACACAAAAUUUAUAUGGUUUAAGAGCCACACUUUCUAAAAAAAUUAAUUUUUUUUCUUCAAAUUAAAUAAUACUAUUUGAGAGUAAUUGAGUUUAUCUACUGAAUUUAUCAUGCAAUCUGUUUGCAACGCGAAGCCCCAUGUAUCUCAAGCCCGUCAUAUUAUAUUCCAAAUGAAGGCCCAAAAACGAUGGGCCAUUAUGACGACAGCUGUUCAGCACUUUAUUUAGGCCCCCGUCUUUCAAAUGAAAUGCAAUUACAAUUUCAGGAUGUCUUAGCAACAAUUCCACGACGUCGCAUCCAAUGGUUCUCAGACGCAUGAAGCACAAGGCUAAGCUUCUGUCUUCAAGUGGAAGUCUACACAGCAUAUUGAAGAUGAAUGUGAGGUGGAAUCCCAAGGCUCACUGGACUCUGGAAUCAGACAAGGGAAUCUUCGUUGUUUAACAUCUUCAAAUUCUGUUGUUGAGGCAGAGGUGCACGGAACGUUGAAAACUGGGCAGGCAUUGGGUUUUGGAAUGUUGAGGACUUGCAGGUGCUGGCAACAUCCAUUAGAGGCCAUGUGGACAGAAAGAUGGAAGAUUGGAAUGACGACCAAUAAUGCCAUUUUGCAGCUCGACAGUGGAUGUGUAUUACCUUCUUUCUUAAUGAAGAUCUUAUUCUGGAAUAGUUGUGGAUUGGGUAUGUCUGCUAAGGGGGUAUCGAUUAGGAAUACUAUUCUGCAUAAUGACAUUGAGGUGUGUUUCCUGCUAGGAACUAAGAGGGCAAUGUGCUGUGACAAAUUUGUUCAUGCAUUAUAGAAUAACUUAUCAGUCAAAUGGUUUAAUUAGGCUGGAGGUAUUUUAGCUACGUGGGAUGAAAGGAAGUUCAUGGUUCAUUUAGCCAAUAUCAAACUAGAAUGUGAUGGUGAAGAUAUAAGGAUGUGUUUUGCCAAACACACACUUAUCAAAUAUGGACUAGGCAAGCUGGAUUUGAAGACCAGACUUGGCCGACACUUUUUUUCUUUUUUAUUGGACAAGAUCUAGCCCAGCCACGCACCCUGGGCUAAACCUAGUCAGUCAACCUGGUUAAUGGCUUAAGCCAGUGACCUAGCUGCAGGAAGGAGCAGGCUUACCUGCUUUGUGCAAUAUUUAAUUUUUUGCAAGCAUAAUAACAACAAGAAAAAUGACUUUGAAAAUUUCUUCUUCAAAUUCAAUUUUUUACCUCGUUUAUAAUCCAAGUGUAUUAAAAUGAGAGCUGGGGAAGAAAAAAGACUUACCUAGCUUGCAAAGACAUUGCACGAGAUUGUAAGUGCUAGGUGAAUUUGUAGUGUCAGAGGAAGAAGAAGAAGAAUUGUGCAUGGUUGAAACAGUGUCGUUUUGAACUGGGAAUAAACAAAUUUAAUUAUUUUAUAGUUUUGUAAAAAAAUUUUUUAAAAAUAUUUUUAAAUAAGCGCCGAUGAAAUUACAUACGGUAUUUUUUUGAGAAAAAUAUCGACGAAAUGAAGCGGGUAAUUUUUUUUGCGCUUUUUUCGUUAGUAAAUCCAUCGGUAAUAAUAUUUUUUAUUACCAACGGAUAAAAAAUUACAGAUAAAAAAUUCACCAAUAGAACAUUUUCAUCUGUGAUUCCAUCGAUAAAUUAAUUACUAAUAGAAUAAUAGUACAAACGCCGAUAAAAAAUUACAUCGGUAAAUAUAAAGAUUAUGAUAGUGUAUUAAAGGUUCACCAAGCACGGAGUUUAGAGUAGAACGUGACUAUGUCAAGCCAAGAAUCACUAUCGCCUUUUCUUUUUGACAUAGAUAUGAAGGGGUUAUCUCUUCUAUUUAUAAGAGCUUCCACUUCUGGAUUAUUUAAUUAAAGGAAUCCAUUAUGGAAAUGGGAUGCAUAUUGUUGAAUAAACUCAAUCCAGAAGCUCCCAGAUGGUCAAGGAAGGCAACCACCAGCUGCCACCGACCAGCCACCAACCAACCAGCCACCAGCCGCCAGCCACCAGCUGCCACAGCAGCCAGCCGCCUUCACACUUGAAGGUUGAAUUUUCUUGUUUUGAUUUCGUGUAUAAAUAGAGUGCCCAACCUCUGUUAAAUUGUGUGGAGAGAAUUGAGAGGAACACUAGAAAGAGAAAGAGAGAGAGAGGGCGUGUAAUUGUUAAGCUUUUGUUGUGUAAUUGUAAGCUUCGGUUUUUUGUAAUAAAACAGUGUGUUUUAUCCCCUCUGAGUGUUUCAAAGCCACCACCAGUGGUUCCUCCCACCAACAAUUGGUAUCAGAGCUCCGUUCGUCGGAAAACAGAAGAGUUUUGCGGUAUAUCCGAAUUUUCAAAAUUGUCAAAAACAAGUUUUGAUCAUUCCACAGUGUAGAGCUCAUCAAGACGAACUCACUGCCGCAAAAUCAGCCUCAUCGGAGUCGAGGUAGCCCACACGCGCCUGAAUAUCUGCCAGAUCGCCCACGCGCCCCGAGGUUGAAGACGACUGAGCCAACGCGCGCCAUUUUGAGCCGCGCCGCGCCGUUACGCCGAGUCCUAGCCAAGCCGCAAGCCGAGUCCAGCCGAGCCGAGCCGUCCAGCCCGAAAGAAUAUUCCCUGGAAUAUUCCCGAAUAUUCCCCAGAAUAUUCCCGGUUCAACCCAGCGAACCGCCCGCCAUACAGAAUUGGUUUUUUGACCGGUUCACCCAUUUUCUGACCUGAUUUCAACAAAGUCAGACCGGUUCCCAACUAUUUGGACUAUUCCAGAUCGAUAUACAGUGUCCGUUUGGUCAAAUUCGGCUCCCAGAAAGGUGAUAUAGUCAUUCAAAGAGCAAAAUGACUACAGAAGGUACACAUACACUCAUUCCAAAGCUGACCAAAGACAACUAUGAUAGUUGGUGCAUCAGAUUGAAGGCAUUUCUUGGGUCACAAGAGUGUUUGGAUAUUGUACAAACUAGUUAUGAUGAACCAGAGUCCAAAAAAAGAGAAGAUGCUUUACAAGAGGCACAGAAGCAAGCCCUCAAAGUCAACAGAAAGAAAGACAACAAGGCAAAGACCAUCAUCUAACAAGGUCUUGAUGAAGAUACAUUCGAGAUAAUAGCUUCCGCUGAAACAUCACAUGAUAUAUGGGAGGCUCUCCAACAGAAAUACAAAGGUGCUGACAGAAUCAAGAAGAUUCGUCUUCAAUCUUUGAGAGGAGAAUUGAUUAUUGCAAAUGAAGUCCUCAGAGUCUAUUUCUGAUUAUCACACAAGGAUUAUGGUGAUAGUCAACCAGAUGAGAAGAAAUGGAGAAGCCCUCAUCGAUUCUCGAAUUAUGAAAAAAAUUUUGAGAUCCCUAGAUCCAAAAUUCAAUUUUGUUGUUGUCGCAAUUGAAGAGUCCAAGGAAGUGGACAAGUUGACGGUUGAUGAGCUUAUGAGUUCGUUGCAAGCUCAUGAGCAGAAGAUAGUAAAGCGAAAUGAAGAUAAGGCCAUCGAGCAUGCCUUACAAGCAAAGCUGUCUCUCAAAGACAGAUAUGAGCAAGGGGAGACUUCAUCAAGUGGCUACACCACUCAAGGAGGAAGUCAACAAUCCAGAGGAAGAUUCCAGAGAUUCCAAGGAAGAGGUUCUUGGAAUACAAUCUUUAGAGGAAGAGGUGGCAGAAACACCACCAGAGGAGGCUGAGGCCAACAAGCAUUCACUCCUAGAGGAAGAGGAGGCGGUUACAAUAACCGUGACAAGAGAAAUAUCAAAUGUUAUAGUUGCAAUCAAUUUGGGCACUAUAGCACUGAAUGCCGAUGGAAAGCUCCGUUGGAGAUACGUGAGCAUGCCAACUAUGCAGAGAAGGAUGACAGAGAAGCAUCUGCAUUUCUUGUCCAACAAGAACUUGGCGAGAAACAGGAAAAUAUAUGGUAUCUAGAUACUGGAGCCAGCAAUCACAUGUGCGGCUACCGAGAGUUAUUUGGUGAUCUAGAUGAGACCAAGCAAGGUCUAGUUACUUUUGGAGAUACCACAAAGGUUCCAUUCAAAGGUAAAGGCAGCAUCCCAGUCAAGUUGAAGAAUGGCGAUUCCAGCUACAUCGCCGAUGUGUAUUAUGUCCCAGCCAUAAAGCAGAACCUGAUCAGCUUAGGUCAACUUUUGGAGAGAGGAUAUAGUUUUUACUCGAAGAAUUGUCAUCUGACAAUUAGAGACAACAAUGGGAGAUUAAUGGCCUACGUGAAAAUGUCCAAGAAUAGGAUGUUUCCUUUGAACAUCCAGUAUGAUGCAACAAGGUGUUUGAGUGCCAUCACCAACAGUGAAGAAUGGCUUUGGCACCUGAGGCUUGGACAUCUGAAUUUCACGAGUUGAAGAUGCUAGCAAGCAAGAAGAUGGUCAAAGGUUUGCCUCACAUUGAUCAUCCAGAUGAAGUCUGUGAAAGUUGUGUCCUCAGCAAACAUCACAGAUCCAGUUUUGCCAAAGAAGUCAACUGGAGAGCAAAGAGGCCACUGGAGUUAGUACACACAGAUGUGUGUGGCCUAAUUACGCCUAUGUCGACUGGACAAAAUAGGUACUUCCUCACUUUUACUGAUGAUUUUAGUAGAAAGACGUGGAUAUACUUUCUGAAGAGGAAGUCAGAAGUAUUCAAUUGUUUUAAAGAUUUUAAAGCAAUUGUGGAGAAGCAAACUGGUUACACGAUCAGAACCGUAAGAUCUGAUCAAGGUGGAGAAUAUACAGCAAAUGACUUUGAAGCCUAUUGUACACAACAAGGCAUCAGACAUCAACGACACCAGCUUAUACACCACAGCUGAAUGGUGUAGCAGAAAGGAAGAAUCGCACGAUUCUUGACAUGGCAGAAGUCUGCUCAAAGCAAAGAAGUUGCCCAAGCAAUACUGGGCUGAAGCUGUAUCAUGUGCAGUGUAUCUGUUGAAUCGCUGCCCAACCAGAAGUUUGCAAGGAGUCACUCCAGAAGAAGCAUGGAGUGGUCACAAACCAAGUGUUACUCAUCUACGAGUCUUUGGUUGUGUGGCAUAUGCAAAGAUCCCAGAUGCAAGAAGGAGAAAGCUCGAUGAUAAGAGCGAGAAAUGCAUCUUUGUCGGAUAUGGUGAAAGAAGGAUGGGAUACAGGCUGUAUAAUCCCAUCACGAAGAAGGUGAUUACGAGUAGAGAUGUUAUCUUUGAAGAAGAUAAAUCUUGGGCAUGGAAUGAUGAUCAAGAAGCAGUCAGAUGGAUCAACACUGAUUUGAUCCUUGAAGGUGAAGAAGUACCAACAGUACUUGUAGAAGAACCGAUUGUGCCAGCAGCUGAACCACAAAGUCCAGUAUUUAUACCAGCAGCUAAACCACAAAGUCCGGUACACAGAUUCCCUGUAUUCAACAGGAGGAACACACCAGGAGCAUCAUCAUCAACACCACCAUCAGCAUCCUCAUCAGAAAGACCAAGAAGGAUACGGAAUCUUGAAGAGUUGUACGAUACCACUCAGGUCAUGAAAGAUACAACUCUGUUUUGUUUUCAUGCAGAUAGUGACCCAUUAAGCUUCAAUAAAGCUGUCACAGAAAAGAAAUGGAUUAAAGCAAUGGAUGAAGAAAUACAUGCCAUUGAGAAGAAAGAUACCUGGAAGCUGACUUAUCCACCAGAAAAGAAGAAAGCAAUAGGUGUCAAAUGGGUCUACAAGACGAAAGCCAAAUUAGUGGAUAAAGCCUAUAAGCAGAGAGAAGGCAUUGAAAGGAGAAGUGUUCAUGCUUGUCAUGACAUCCCUCGAUUGAGUUUAAAGGGGAGAUUUGUUGAAUAAACUCAAUCCAGAAGCUCCCAGAUGGUCAAGGAAGGCAACCACCAGCUGCCACCGACCAGCCACCAACCGACCAACCACCAACCGCAGCCACCAGCUGCCACAGCCGCCAGCCGCCUUCACACUUGAAGGUUGAAUUUUCUUGUUUUGAUUUCAUGUAUAAAUAGAGUGCCCAGCCUCUGUUAAAUUGUGUGGAGAGAAUUGAGAGGAACACUAGAAAGAGAAAGAGAGAGAGAGGGCGUGUAAUUGUUAAGCUUUUGUUGUGUAAUUGUAAGCUUCGGUUUUUUGUAAUAAAACAGUGUGUUUUAUCCCCUCUGAGUAUUUCAAAGCCACCACCAGUGGUUCCUCCCACCAACACAUAUGAGUUAUUUGCAGAUGAUAAUUUUAGUGUUAUUCCUAAUCAUUUUUUUUGAUAAUUAAUGCUAAACGAUUUUGAGGUGGUUUGAAUUGAGAUCUAAAGGUUAAUUUUUUUUAAAUAUUCACUAGUUGACAUCAACCUAGAUGAUGAAUUUACAGUAGGAAUAACAAAUGUGAUAAAUAGUGUCGCACCCAAAAACUUUCAACGCGCGGCAUCGGCUGGCGAUUUAAAUCUCGUUUAUUGCGUUUGCUUGAAUUUGGUUCGUUGGAGUCGCCACCUAGUAAUUGAUUUCGGGCUACUAGGAAACCGGAUGUACUGGUCUUGUCAGAGAUUCGCGGGUAAGGGACUGGUUGUGGUUAGGGAAGGUAUUAGCACCUCUAACGCACCUACCUGAGGUAAGCUGCUUCGUGGCUUUGACGUGUUAAAGAAGUUUUAAUAAUUGUCUUUUUUCUUCGGAUUAGAAAUAUCACUUACGUAUAAGUUAAUAAUUCUUAACCGUGAUCCGAUCAAAUAUAAAUUCUUCUUUAAUAUAUUUGCAAUUUUAUCAUUAAAAAUAUGUACAAAUAAAUAAAACAAAAUACAAGCACACACAUACACUUUUAUUUUAUUUUUGUUUCUUUUCUUUUCGUUUUCUUUUCUUUUCUUUUACAUCCAUAUUUACAAAAUACAAAUUACAAAACAAAAAAAAAAUCAAAACUAAACAAAUUACAUUAAAAACACAUUAAAAUUACAAAACAAUCCCUAAAAUUCAGGAAAAACAACUCUGGGAAACAACUCAAGCCCGAAUGAACAGUAGCGGCGCGUCUUCCCACGCGCCGCCACUGGAAAACAUGGCAAACCAGGGGUGUAUGGAGCGCCUUCCUCCCCCGUUCAUUUUUCUGCCGGCGGUGAGGAUCCGGUCACCUGCAAACACAAGAGAAAUACACAAAGAGCAGUCGGUUUUAGUUUUUUAGAUCUGUUUUUAAUUUUCUUCUGCCCGUUUCGGAUCUGCUCAAUUCGUUCUCUUUCUGGUGGUUAUUCCUUCGUUCUUCAGAUGGCGGAGUGCUGGGUGGCUCGCCGGCGCGUGCUGCGGCUGAAGAGGGGAUCGUGGAUCUACCACCGGUUUGAAGGAGAUGAUGAGAGUGUUGGCCCGCGCGGGAUCUGUUCGGCCAUCGCUGCUGUUGCUACCCAAUUUUUGACCCAUGUUUUUUUAUAUAUUUUCAAAAAAUCCAAAAAAAACAUUAAGAAAAAUUUGAAAAUUUAAAAAUAUUUUUUUCUCUCUCGAGUCAACCGCAUCUCUUCACUCAAACCAUGUCGACCAGGGUAAAAAAUGAGUUUCGGGCUGUUUCGGGUGAAAAACAUCAUUUUCAACCAAAAUCGGGUUCACCGGGUCAAUACGGGUCAUACCAUGUUGACCAGGGUAAAAAAUGAGUUUCGGGUCAAAAAUAUCAUUUUCGACCAAAACCGAGUUCACCGGGUCAAUACGGGUCAUACCAUGUCGACCAGGGUAAAAAAUGAGUUUCGGGUUGUCUUGGGUCAAAACCGUCAUUUUCGACCAAAACCCGGUUCAUCGGGUCGAUACCCAUCAAAUGUUUUUUUUGGUAUUUCAUUUUUUGGCGGUUGAAACGAGAUUUUUCUAAUACUGAUUUGAAUUUUUAGUUUUACCCAUGUAAAUAUUUAUUAUUAUAUAUAAUAAAACAAAAUUAUGGUAGUUGUGUGCAAUAUUUAUUAUUAUAUAUAAUAAAACAAAAUUAUGGUAGUUGUGUGCAAUAUUUAUUAUUAUAUAUAAUAAAACAAAAUUAUGGUAGUUGUGUGCAUUAUUUCUUAUUAUAUAUAAUAAAAUAGAAUUUAAUGGUUGUUGUCCCGUGGCUAUAAAUAGCCACGAGAGGGGGGCAGAAUAAAAGAGAGAAAAAAAAGAGAGGAAGAGAAAAGAAAAAGAAAAGAAAGAAUCGAUUGAUACUAUUCCUAAUUUUUUUAGUUUUUCUUCAGGAGAGUAGGAUAUUGUCUUUUAAAAAAAACAAUUUAAAAAAUACCAAACAUAUCCCAACACAUCUCAGCCGUUAAUAUAUUCCAGGAUUUAAUCCUGUUGCGCCACGUCAUCCGGUGCACCGAGCUUUCGGUGCACCGCGCCACACAAAAUCAAAAACCAGACAAUCUGGGCCGUCCGAUCAACCUGCUGAUCUAGCCAAUCCCAGCCAUCCGAUCGUUUCAUCCAAGAUCCAACGGUUAACAUCCUUCAGCGGCACCGGUACACCAUACACGCGUCCGCACCGUAGCAAAUCUCGGAGCAUCUCUCUCCUCUCGCCGGCGACUCUCUCUCUCUCCUCAGAUCUCCACUUUCCGGCCAUAUAAAGUCUCCGAACCACCACAGAAAGGUUCCUCACAUGCCGUAAAGUAAAACCCCGGUGGUUUUCAUCGUUUUCACCGCCUCAUCUGGCCGGAAAAAGGCCGCGAUCGUCGCCGGCCACCGAAGCUUCAAGUCGUCGAUUCUCCCUCGUCAGCCAUCAACGGCCGUCGAGACCACCACCAACAGAAUCCUUGACCUCAGAUCUACCAGAACCGACCAUCGGUGGGCCAGAAAUCUCGCCGGAAAAUUUCGCCAUCGUCAACAGUGACAGCGCGUGAGACACACGCGCCGCCAGUGGCAUUUUCGUAAUUUUUCAAGAAAUCCGAGGGUAUUUCAGUCUUUUACCUAUACUGUGUCACUCAUGUAAUUUUUUUUUUGAUUGCUAAUUUUUUUUUAUUUUGUAUAUAAAUUUUCUUGCAUGUUGUAAAACAAAAAAUAAACACAAAAAAAGAAUAACAACGCGGGUCCAACACCCAUCCUAUUAUGUCAUCAUUCGUGGGUCCAAAGCCCAAUUUUUAAAUAUAGUUAUAGCCAUAUCUCAACGAUAUUAAAAUAUUUGUUUUUAUAAACAAAUAUUGUUUGUCGACACGUCUCUUUUUAUAAAAAGGACCGAUGUCAAAUAAAAAAGUUUAAAUACCAAACAAAUAUGGAUUAUGUCCAUAAUUUUGUUUUUUGGUAACUCAGACGUACUUCUCCUUUUUAGGGUUAAACGUCAAUAUUUUAGACAAGUCUCCUAUUUUUAGGGACUGAUGUCAUUUUUAACGUGUCUCCUAUUUUUUUUAGGGACCGACGUUAACCAUAAAAAAAAUAAUAAAAUUGCAAAUAAACUCAAAAUAUAAUAUCAUUUGAAACAAAUAAAAAAACACACAAGUAAGGGUAACCUUUCUUUUGAAAGGAUGUUUUAAGGGUGGUGUCUACCUUCCCUUAAUCAUAACUAACCCAGUACCCGAAUCUCUGGGACCAGUGUCUAAUUUGGGAUUUCUAGUUCCCUCAAAUUACUAGAUGGCGACUCCAAUAAAUUUUUCAUUUCCCCCAAUUAAACAAAUCUUUUUUGUUAAAUAAACAAAAAUGAGCGGAGCCGUCGCCCGACGUCGUGUAUCGACAGUUGCUGUGGAAGGAAAUCGACGGAGGAGCAGCCGUGGCUGAGGAGAUCGCCUACAGAUCGGUGGCUUGGUGGUCUGUCGGUGUCCGGAGGGAAGUCCUUGGUCGCUGCCUAGAGGCCGAAUGGAGAGGAGAGUGAACAGCGGUUGAUGGCUCCGGGUGAGGCUGGUUCGGUGGUGCUGCCCGUUGCAAGUGAGAGGGUGAGGUUUUUUUGGCUUGGGAAAUUGCCGGCUAUGGAGAUGGAAAUGAGGGGGGAACGAAGUGGCUGGGUCCGAAAAAAUCAAAGCCAAGGGGAAAGAGCUGAUGAGCGGGGGAAGCGACCGAGGAAGAAUGAAAAAAAUUCGAAGGGCUGGGGGACGGCGGCGUUUCUUUUUUUUGUGCAGGGAGAGGGGAAGGUCUCGGUGACCGGUUUCUGGUUAAGGUGAAAAAUAUGGGGGAACAGCGUGGGUAGAAGCUGAGGGAAGGGCUGUUUGGCUUUGGUUUGUGGCCGGCGGCUGUAAAAAAAAAAAAUAAUAACCAGGGGGAAAGGGGGGCUGCAGGCUUGGUAGAGAUAGGUUUAGGGUUAGGUUAUUUUUUGUAUUUUCUGAUAUUUCAAAAUUGCCCCCCUCCUUUGUGUGAGUUAAAGACCAGUAUUUAUAGGCAAAAAUGUUGCCAAGUUUUUCAACUUGGUCCCUCAACUUCUUUCUUUUUGUAAAUUUUGAUUUUUCUUAUUUUUUUGUAUUUUUUGAAAACAAGAAAUAUCAACGUCGACUCAAAUGCGGAAAAUCAAUGAUUUUAAAAAUGACGCGUGAAAAAUCGAACGCGUUUGAAAAUAUUUUAACAAUUUAAAUUCUUUUUUAGACGACGUUGAAAAUACUAAAAUGACGAAAAUAUAUUAAAAAACAUAUUUUUUGGAUUUUCUUUGUUUUUCUCAAUUUUUUGGAUUUUUGAAAAUAUAUCAAAACAUGGGUCAAAAAUUGGGUAGCAACAGAUGCCCCCUCUUUACAAUGCUUACGAAGCAAAACUCCUCAAAAUUUUGCAUAGUAAGCUUUGUACAGAAAACAAAAGGAAAAUAAUUUUAUUAUCUUGGGCAACCUGACUACACAUACUCACUCUAGUCUAUUUUCACGGGCGACCGACCCACACUCUCCCAAUAGUCUAUUUUCACGGGCGACCUGCCCACACAUUGGGUUUACCUGAGAUCCCAUCUGGCGACCUCAUUCAACUGGAACGAAAAUAUUGUGUAACUCGGUUAACCUGAAAUCCCAUCUGGCGAUUCCCUUUAACCAAAGCUACCCGAGAUCCCAUCUGGCGACCUCAUUUAACCAAAACAAAAGAAUGUGAAAAAUGGUCUCAUUGUAUGGGUGACAAACCCAAGAAAAAAAUGAUGGUCUCAUUGUAUGGGUGACGAACCCCAGAAAAAUGUUGGUCUCAUUGUAUGGGUGACGAACCCCAGAAAUAUGAUGGUCUCAUUGUAUGGGUGACGAACCCCAGAAAUAUGAUGGUCUCAUUGUAUGGGUGACGAACCCCAGAAAAAUGAUGGUCUCAUUGUAUGGGUGACGAACCCAGGAAAAAUGAUGGUCUCAUUGUAUGGGUGACGAACCCAGAUGGAAAAAAAUGUGAAGUGUGGUCGCAUUGUAAUGGGUGACCUACCCACGUGGAAAAAAUAUGAAGUGUGGUCUCAUUGUAAUGGGUGACCUACCCAGAUAAAAAAGAAUAUGAAGUGCGGUCUCAUUGUAAUGGGUGACCUACCCAAAAAUGGAAAAAUAUGAAGUGUGGUCUCAUUGUAAUGGGUGACCUACCCAGAUGGAAAAAAUAUGAUGAAGUGGUCUCGUUGUGAUGGGCGACCUACCCAGAUAGAAAGAAUGUGAAGUGCGGUCUCAUUGUAAUGGGUGACCUACCCAGAUGGAAAAAAUAUGAUGAACGGUCUUAUUAUGAUGGGCGACCUACCCAGAUGGAAAAAAUGUGAUAUGACAAGUGUGAAAAAUAGGACUUACCUGGCGAAAUCCUGAGGGGAUGACAGAAGAAGGGCUGGAAAACUUGGUGCUUCCUGAUAAUUCCCGAUCAUAGGGUUUGAAAACUCGGUGUUUCCUGACUGCAAGGGUUGAAAACUCGAGGCUUCCCGAUUGCAAGGUUGAUCUUUCCAUUUCUUUGGGAUUUUCCUAAUGGUAGGGUUCAUCCCAUCGUCCUUUUAUUCGAUGAUCAAAACCGAUUCUUUAUUAUCAUCACCACAAUGCUUCUUUCUCUUUCCACCAUCUUGCUGGACCUCAUUAAGGAUUUUCCUGUAACAAUUCAAAAAUAUGUGCAAAUGGUUUUUUUUUUUUUUUUUUUUUUUUUUUUGAGGUUAGAUGAUAUACAUGCAUCCUUACCUGUUUUGAAAUAAUAGGUCCCCCCUCUUUGAUGCUCCAUCGUCAUAGGGUGCCCUUAUUUGUAUCCCAAAGCUUUCUUUGUUCUUCCGAUGUAUUGGCUCAUUCAUGUGUUAGUCAUCCACUCAGCUGUAAAUGCAGUGCCCAUCCCGGGCUGUCUUCGACAAUUACUGCUUGCAUCGUUCAUGAAGCUUGACCCUCCCCCCAAGUGUAGUACUGCUUGAUUCAUCAUGAGCGAUUUUCUCUCCUGGCUUCUUCUGAGAAAUUAUCCUCUGAUUGAUUGUGUGCAUCAUGCCAACACCCAUCACGUUUGUUAAUCAGUCAUGAACUUGCCUUCGGUUGAAACACCAUUCAAGUAUGUAUGGUCACCAGCCUUCAUGGAACUGCCAAGUCAUCUAGACAUGUAUCUCAUACUUUGCAGUAAACAACUCAUCAUUGUAAGCGCGAUGUAUUUCUCUAUGGAUUCCUCUUAGCUUGUCAAAUCAGAUCAUGAAAAUACUUGCUUUGGCAUCAUUAAUGAUGUUCAUGUUAUCACCCAUAUUCAUGCGGUGAAGUGCGCAUUUGAGCUUCAGAAUAGAUGGUCCCAUAGUCAGUCUUGGUGGUGCAUCCUCCUUUCAGCCUUCAUGCACAUGCAACUGUGUGAUAACAUCGUUCAAAAGUCAUAACCAUGUUGAAGAUGAUAAACCAAGAUGAAGACAUGAAAAUAUCCUUCUAGUGCAUCGUUUCUCAUCAAUUGCUGCUGAAGUUCACUAAAUCAUGGAUUGUCUUUGAACAACAUUGCCCCUAGUUGAUCUGAACAUGCUCAUUCUUUUGUUUACAACCAAAUGGCUUUUGUGAAUGUCAGGAAGGACUUUGAUGGACUUUGAUGAUUCAUCAUGUGAUUCUUUCUUUGCCCCCAGCUGAUCUGGAUACUGUUUGCUUUCCCUCUUAAGGUCCACUGUAUUGCCCCCAGGUGGUCAACGUUUCAAAGAGUGUCGAGAAAUGUUGAUGUCAUUUUUUGUCAAGAAUUUUGCAAACUCAAUUGAUGUUCUUGUUUGAAAAUCUUUCUUGUUCUGGAAUCAAAUCUCAACAUUUCAACGAUCAUGUCUAUUCAAGUAUAAUUGUUGAAAUGAAAUCAAAGAGAUAUCAGUUUUUGAAAAGUUAUUUUUGAAAUUCGAGCUCCUUUGGUCAAAGACCCAACACACUAUUCACUGCAGUCCUUUGAUUGUCUUGUAUUUUGAAAACAGAAAUGACCCGUUGUAAGAUUAAAAUGACUUUUUCAUGGUUCUGUCCACUUUAAACUCUGAUUUUGGGUAUAUCUUUUGAUGGUAUGGUGAGGUGAUAUUUUUGUGAAUUUCAAAACAAGAUGCUCAGGCUUGAUAAAGAAAGGUUGUUUCUCUUCUAGUAUUUAUUUUAUCAGCAUGCAUAAUAACCAGUAGCUUAAUUCAUGAAGUCACGACCCUUAUAAAAACUCUUCAAGUUUUGAGAGCGCCAUUUAUGGUUCAAAUUGCUUGCUUGAUUAAAAAGGGCUUUUAAAAGCACGUAAUGCAGGCUAUGGUUCAUGGCUAUGAAAGAAAGGAAUUUCAAAGGCUCAAAAGGUGUUUGAGGGUUUCAAAGACCUAGGAUCAACAUCAACUAUUCAUCAACUCUUUCUAUUGUUGUCUUUGUAGGAAACGACAUAUAACCUUGUUAACCUCAAAGUUCAGAUUUCUUAACAUAGGUCAUAAUGCAAAUCCAACCUUUCCUUGAUGACUAACCAACCUUAAUCAUCUGAUAACAUCAAGAGCUUUAUAAUGGAUACCAAAAUUCAACGCUUAUAGCUUAGUCUUUUUCUGGUAUUGACUUUUGUUGUGCCUUUCCUUGAUUGAAAUUUCUUUUGCUCUUCAUAAACUUGAUAGGCGUUCUCCUUCCUUUAUCUUUGACUUGUAUUUAAGUGAAGGCAAUUUCAACUUCCUUUUUUUCAUUCUCUUUUUUUUUUCAUAGCCUUCCUCAAAAUUUUCUUAUAUGCCCCCAGUCUAUGUGUUUUCUUUUAGCUCUCUCUCAAUCAUUGGACCUUUGUUAUAAGCCUUCCCCUUUAUCCAUUAAUUAUAUCAAUGUCUCCAAAAUAUCUCUCAUUUGCCCCUAGUGUGGGGUGUGAUCCUAGUCAGGGUUUCUUUUUGAAAGAAAAUAUUUUACCAGGCUCAAAAUGGGACUGCAAGGGAUAUAAUCUUUAGAAAGUGAAGGGAUAUCAAAGAUGGCCUUUUCUCAUUUCAAGCAAGGUCGGUUAAACCGAUAAAUUUUGACCUCAUCCAGUGUAAUGAUUGGACUUGUAAGAGUCAUGAUUCACGAGUCCAUAACUAUUGAAUCCACUACAUGUCAUUAUGCAUACUGCUAAAACUUAGCUAUAUGAUGUGUGGUUCAGUUUCAAAAGGUAUGAGUUCAAAAUUGUUUGGUCACCUCAUGUCAUUUUCAAGCAUAGAGUCAUUUCUGUAAUCAAAACACUUUUAAUCUUCCGGAUUGAUUAACCUUUAUCGCAUGUUGGAGUUUGAUCAAAAUAUUUUGUCAGAAUAAAAUGUUAAACAUCUGUUGAUUUCAAAACAACAAAGAGACAAAAGCAAGGCAUGUUUCGUUGAAGGAUGAGAUGUGAUCCCAAAACAAAAUGCAGAAUUCCAAAACAAUAUGAUUGACUGUUCAUCACCAUUCUUGAAUCAGCUUUUCUGGCAAUAUCUGUGUUUUGCCAAGCAUUUUCGAUCACAUGUUUCUGAAGAUGUUCGGGGAACAAUAUAGCCAAUGACACCCUCUUCAACGACUCCACUUGUCUCUUGCUCACCAACUUUCAGACUCUUCUUGCAAUUCUUGAAACUGUUCACUUGAAAUGGUUGAGGACCCCACCAUGACAUCACAUCUCUUUCUGGAUUAACCACCUAGAAAUUGGUGGUUGCAUGGGAUUUGUCGGAGUCAAGCAAAAUUCUGGAAUCUGGCAGAUGCUGGUCGACAAACUUAAGUGGCAGAGGAAUGUCCCAUCUUGGCAAAGACAUUUGAGCAAUUGAUGCUACCGUGAGACCUGGCUAUACCACAUAAUUAAGGGUUCACACCGUCAAAGUCAUCUCCUGAUUCAUCUCAUCAUUGUUCUGGAAUCCAUGGCAGAUCCUUCAAUCUUUCUCUUCAUAGCUUGUUCAAUUUUCGGCAAAUCCUCACAACUUAUUUCAAUCUUCCAAUGUUGUGUUGGUUGAGGAUUGUUAGAAAACUUUCUAACAGCUUGGUAAUCUUGGCAGCGCCCAGAAACUUGUAGUAUCGCCACUACCGUGUGGAAUCACACAUUGUCUCUAUUGGAAGAGCACCUGAUGAAUCUAAAACUCCUUUGUCCCCUCUUCGAUUUCUCACUGACAGUGCAGCAAACAAACACCUAUAGAGGAAGUCCUGCUCUGUUGAAGUUUCAGUAUUCUUCAUGUUUUUCAGUCUAGGCAUGUCUCUUCUCUCUACUUUUGCUUUUAAUACUGACACUGUUGGAGGAAAAUCAUAGAUGAUCUGAAACUACUGUAUUCCUUCUUGGAUUUCCCACUUGCGGAUCCACAAACAGAUUCCUGCGAGAGAGCUCUACGUUGAAGUUUGAUGUCUGCUCGUAUUUUUCAGACCAGGUCUGGCUCUUCAACCUACUAAGAUGUCUUCGUGCUGAAACUGAUGAGAGAAAUAUUUGUAGCAUAUGCAACUUAUAAAUCCCCUCUUGCAUUCCCAAUUUGCAGAGCCAUAAAUGGAUUUUAUAGAGGAGCUCUGCCACAUUGAAGUUCAGUGUUAAUCAUGGUUUUUCAGACCAUCUUGUGCUGCUGAACUGGAAUUGAGCUCAUAAUGGGGUAACUUCAAAGCAGACUAAUGCACCAUGUACAUGAGGCUAGUGGUCGUUUGGUUCCAUUAGAUGAUGUGGAGGCGAUGAACACUUAACAGUGCAACUGGACAAGAAUCAGAGUUGUCAUUAGUUGAUGACUGAAGGCAUUGUUGUUUUGUUCAUGACGGAAAAGGAGAGAUACACUUCAAUUGGAUGAACAAGCAGUGUUCCCACAGAAACUGUGCAGACACUCUCUUUCCAUUUGAUGCUCAACACUUGUUCGAGCAGAUCUGAGUCGCUACUUCACCUUGAUGCUCUCAACCUAUAUCUGAGCCUCUUUGUUCACUUCCAUUCAUUUUUCUUCAAUCGUGCAGCACAGCUUGUAUGGGGACCUACUUUCACCCGGUACAUGCAUGAUAAAUGUAUGAACAUGUAAUCUAUAUGAUGAACUCACCCUUCGAGAGGUGACAAUAUGGUCGUAACUCUUGUAUGAUGGACAAGAAUCGUGAUUUUUGCCCAAACUCUACAAUGAAAAUUUUCGGAGCAACGGCCAAUGUGUCACCCACAAGUCUUGAGUUCAAGAUGCUUCAAGAAGGGUUUGCCCUUAUGCAAAAAACGAUAGCACAUACAACCUAAGGACAGGUUCUAUUCAUUAUGUGAACAUGGGUAGGUUUUCUAUCUGGUCUCAAAAGGGUCUCAUAUCUGCCCAGUGACGUUCUUCGUAAAGACAGUAUGGGGGCGUUGCAAGGAAUGGUUAAGGCACGUAUACCCACCAUUACCAAGCAGGCACUCAGAUAUGAGUUGGGUGUUUCACGCAUCUGAACCCUGACCAAUAGUCUUAGGGCAGAUCGCUAGUUCCCCACCUAACCUAGAAGCUUGUGUGUGCUUUCAAAAAUAAAUACAGGUGAUGCAUGAGACAAUUCUAUAAAAUGCAUGGAAAUAAAUAUUAACAAAAAAGAUAAAAAUGCAAAAACUUAAACACAUCAAAUACACAAAGCUUAGUCCAAAUCGAAAAAUACCUUCCCAGUGGAGUCGCCAUUCUGUCGCACCCCAAAAAAAUCAGCGCGCGGCAUCGGCUGGCGAUUUAAUCUCGUUUUUGCGUUUGCUUGAAUUUGGUUCGUUGGAGUCGCCACCUAGUAAUUGAUUUCGGGCUACUAGGAAACCGGAUGUACUGGUCUUGUCAGAGAUUCGCGGGUAAGGGACUGGUUGUGGUUAGGGAAGGUAUUAGCACCCCUAACGCACCCUACCUGAGGUAAGCUGCUUCGUGGCUUUGACGUGUUAAAGAAGUUUUAAUAAUUGUCUUUUCUUCAGAAAUUAGAAAUAUCACUUACGUAUAAGUUAAUAAUUCUUAACCGUGAUCCGAUCAAAAUAUUAAAUUCUUCUUUAAUAUAUUUGCAAUUUUAUCAUUAAAAAAUAUGUACAAAUAAAUAAAACAAAAAUACAAGCACACACAUACACUUUCACUAUUUUAUUUUUGUUUCUUUUCUUUUCUUUUUCUUUUCUUUUCUUUUACAUCCAUAUUUACAAAAUACAAAUUACAAAAACAAAAAAAAAAAUCAAAACUAAACAAAUUACAUUAAAAACACAUUAAAAUUACAAAACAAUCCCUAAAAUUCAGGAAAAACAACUCUGGGAAACAACUCAAGCCCGAAUGAACAGUAGCGGCGCGUCUUCCCACGCGCCACCGCUACUGGCGGCGCGUGGGUUCACGCGCCGCCACUGGAAAACAUGGCAAACCAGGGGUGUAUGGAGCGCCUUCCUCCCCCGUUCAUUUUUAUGCCGGCGGUGAGGAUCCGGUCACCUACAAACACAAGAGAAAUACACAAAGAGCAGUCGGUUUUAGUUUUUUAGAUCUGUUUUUAAUUUUCUUCUGCCCGUUUCGGAUCUGCUCAAUUCGUUCUCUUUCUGGUGGUUAUUCCUUCGUUCUUCAGAUGGCGGAGUGCUGGGUGGCUCGCCGGGCGUGCUGCGGCUGAAGAGGGGAUCGUGGAUCUACCACCGGUUGAAGGAGAUGAUGAGAGUGUUGGCCCCGCGCGGGAUCUGUUCGGCCAUCGCUGCUGUGGAAGGAAAUCGACGGAGGAGCAGCCGUGGCUGAGGAGAUCGCCUACAGAUCGGUGGCUUGGUGGUCUGUCGGUGUCCGGAGGGAAGUCCUUGGUCGCUGCCUAGAGGCCGAAUGGAGAGGAGAGUGAACAGCGGUUGAUGGCUCCGGGUGAGGCUGGUUCGGUGGUGCUGCCCGUUGCAAGUGAGAGGGUGAAGUUUUUUUGGCUUUGGAAAUUGCCGGCUAUGGAUGUUGCUACCCAAUUUUUGACCCAUGUUUUUGAUAUAUUUUCAAAAAAUCCAAAAAUAGAGAAAAACAAAGAAAAUCCAAAAAAUAUAUGUUUUUAAUAUAUUUUCGUCAUUUUAGCAUUUUCAACGUCGUUUAAAAUUUUUAAGGGUCUUUCGAAUGCGUUCGACUUUUCACGCGUCAUUUUCAAAAUAAUUGAUUUUCCGUAUUUGAGUCGACGUUGAUAUUGCUUGUUUUCAAAAAAAAAUACAAAAAAAACAAGAAAAAUCAAAUUUUACAAAAAAAGAAAGUUAAGGGACCAAUAUUGAAAACUUGUCAAUAUUUUUUGCCUAUAAAUACUGGUGUCCAACACUUGCAAAGGGGGGGCUAAUUUUGCAAUUAAAGAAGACAACCAAAAAACCCUAAGGGCUGAACAUUUUUUUCAUCUCCUGCACCCUAGGCAGCCGCCCCCCCUCCCCUGGAUUUUCUUCUCUGCGCCCUCAACUGCACAGCCGGCUCCCUCUUUUCCUUUCCUUUCCCCCUGCCCAGCACCAGCUCCCACAGCACCGUUUCCCUCCAGCUUCUUCACCCAAAACCAUCCUUCCAUCUCCAGUUUUCUGCUCACACAAGACAGCCCCUCACCUCCUCUCUCUUACUCCGAUCUUCACUCAUCAACUGGCCAUAGACCAACAACAGCCACGAAUUAGCUCCCCCUUCCACAGAUCCUCUCUCAGCUGCUCCCUUCUCCAGCCGCAGCGGCGCCUUCUUCAUCCGGCAGCACCCAGCAGAGCCUUCCUUCUCCAGCUCCUCCCUCAUAAAUCGCCCUCCACCAAGCUACACAGCAGCAGGCUCCUCCACACCGAAGCCCCGAACACAACAGCAGCAAAGGACAGCCCUCCUCCAGCCGUUCCCCCCAGCUUCAGCAGUGCCCACAGACCGGCCACCAGCAGCAGCAGCCGAUCUCCUUCACCGUCGUUUGCCAGCCUCCAGCACUCCUUGCUGCCAGUACAUGGAACAAGGGAGAAGAGGAUGAGCAGCAGCAGCUGAUCUGCUACGAAGCAGACCCAAAAGAGGCCGUGGCAGAUCUAAAAAGGGAGAGCCGGAAUUGGUUGUGUUGUUGGUUUUACUUUGCAGGUGACUGGGAGAUGCACUGCCGGUACGAACGAGAAGAGAAGAAGGAGACAAUCCCGAUCUACCAGCUUGCUGGUCUUCACCGGCGGUGGGCGUGAGGCCCACGCGCCGCCACUGUUCCCGCGCCCAGAAAACUUCCUUGACACUGUUCCGACUAUAGAGGGCUAUCCCUGUAAUUUCAGAUUGUUUUAGGGCUAAUUUUUGUAAUUGUAAAAAUUGUUUAAUGUUUUUUUUUGUUUAGUUGACUUUUUAUAAUUUGUAAUGUUGAUGUAACAAAAAAAGAAAGAGAAAGAAAAAAAAAGUAAUAAAAAGAAAGUGUGUGUUGUUUUUUUUAUUUAUUUAUGAAUUAUAAAAAAAAAAGGACGAAUUAAUUGUUAAUUUAAAUAUGGUUAAAUAUCAAGGACAAAUAAAAUCAAGUUGUAUUUUCUACGAAAAUGUAAGACAAGUUUCUACAUAUAUUCGGGAAUUCAAUAACUGAUUUAUUCAAGCCUUAGAAUUUAAUUAAUAUUGACAAAGAAUUGAUUUAAUUUAAAUAUGUUUAAAUAUCUCAAGGACAAAUAAAAUCAAGUUGUAUUUUCCAUGAAAAUGUAAGAACAAGUUUUUACAUAUAUUCGGGGAUUUAAUAACUGAUUUAUUCAAGCCUUAGAAUUUAAUUAAUAUUUUAAAUUUUCAAAUCACAUUAGAACACAAAGCAGCUUACCUAAGGUAGGGUGUGUUAGGGGUGCUAAUACCUUCCCUAACCACAACCAGUCCCUUACCCGCGAUCUCUGAUAAGACCAGUACAUCAGGUUUCCUAGUAGCCCUCAAUAAAUUACUAGGUGGCGACUCCAACGAACGAAUUCAAAAGAAAACGCAACAAACAAUGAAAAAUCGCCAGCCGACGCCGCGCGCAGGAUUUUUUUGGGGUGCGACAAUGGAGAUGGAAAUGAGGGGGGAACGAAGUGGCUGGGUCCGAAAAAAUCAAAGCCAAGGGGAAAGAGCUGAUGAGCGGGGGAAGCGACCGAGGAAGAAUGAAAAAAAUUCGAAGGGCUGGGGGACGGCGGCGUUUCUUUUUUUUGUGCAGGGAGAGGGGAAGGUCUCGGUGACCGGUUUCUGGUUAAGGUGAAAAAUAUGGGGGAACAGCGUGGGUAGAAGCUGAGGGAAGGGCUGUUUGGCUUUGGUUUGUGGCCGGCGGCUGUAAAAAAAAAAAAAAAACCAGGGGGAAAGGGGGGCUGCAGGCUUGGUUGAGAUAGGUUUAGGGUUAGGUUAUUUUUUGUAUUUUCUGAUAUUUCAAAAUUGCCCCCCUCCUUUGUGUGAGUUAAAGACCAGUAUUUAUAGGCAAAAAUGUUGCCAAGUUUUUCAACUUGGUCCCUCAACUUCUUUCUUUUUGUAAAUUUUGAUUUUUCUUAUUUUUUUGUAUUUUUUGAAAACGAGCAAUAUCAACGUCGACUCAAAUGCGGAAAAUCAAUGAUUUUAAAAAUGACGCGUGAAAAAUCGAACGCGUUUGAAAAUAUUUUAACAAUUUAAAUUCUUUUUUAGACGACGUUGAAAAUACUAAAAUGACGAAAAUAUAUUAAAAAACAUAUUUUUUGGAUUUUCUUUGUUUUUCUCAAUUUUUUGGAUUUUUGAAAAUAUAUCAAAACAUGGGUCAAAAAUUGGGUAGCAACAAAUAGCAUCCGCACAAGACUAGUUUCAUGGAAAGGUAAGUUCUAGCGAAAUGCAUUCACGGUGUUAUCAUAUGGAAUUUUAUGGGGGUAUUUGGACUGCAAGAAAUAAGCAUGUUCAAAGAUAAAAAGCUUGAUUGAAAUACAUUGUUUCAACUGAUACUCCAUCGUCUAGAACUUUCAUUAAAGGUCCGGAAUAAUAAUUUCUCAUACACGAAGAAUAAUUUGAUUUAAGGUCUCCAAGGCAUUUUAACAAGGUCUAAUAAGUGAUGAGUUCUUGUUUAUUAGUAGCAACUUCUUUGUAACUUCUUUUUAUGUUUUUCUCUAUAACUUCCUGUUUAUUAUAGCCUGAAUGAUAUGUAGUUUUAUCAAUAAUUAACUCGAUUGAUGAGUUGACGUCAUUCAUCAAACGCAAAUUAAGCUCUUAAUUAAUGAGAGGAAAAUGUAGGGUUGGAAAAAAGUUUGGAAGUGAUAAUCAGUACAUACCAAGCCAAAUAAGAUUGUCUCAGGUACUAAAUAGGAUUGUGUCCGGUGUAGUAAUAAAGUUUCUACCUUCUAUGGUAUAUAAAAUGUCUGACCACUUCAACAACAUGUCACGUAAAGAGUGCAUUAAUGUCAUUAUCCUAGAAAUUUUUCCCACACUUUAUUUAUUUUGCUAAACUUUAUAUACUAAAUUAUAAUCAACUCCUAGAUAUUUUACACGUAAAAUUAUAGACCUCGUCCACUUUGUGCCUCUAUAAAUAGCUUAACCUCGACCUUAUCUCCACACAUCACAAGAAAUUCCUUUCUCUCUUUGCAUAUCAAUAUCAAAACUCCCUUCAGGAGUAGCGAAAAUGAGAAGCAAUAUACUACUUACCAUUAUCUUAGCCAUAGUUCUUGCAGGAGCCCUGCCCAAGAAUGUGGUAGAGGCUCAGAAUUGUGGCUGUGCUGCAAACCUUUGUUGCAGUCAAUAUGGCUACUGUGGCACCGGCGAUCCCUAUUGUGGUCAGGGAUGUAAACAAGGGCCCUGUUAUUCAUCGCCUACGCCUACUACUCCUAGUGGGAGUGGUUCUGUUGCUGAUAUUGUUACGCCUGCUUUCUUCAAUGGUAUAAUCAACCAAGCUGCUGCAAGCUGUGCUGGGAAGAAUUUCUAUACAAGAAAUGCAUUUCUCAGUGCUGUCAAUUCAUAUUCUCAGUUUGGUAAACUUGGUUCAGCUGAAGCUUCUAAGCGUGAGAUCGCAGCUUUCUUCGCUCAUGUUACUCAUGAGACUGGACGUAAGUUCCUCUUCCAUCCCUAAUAACAUUUCUCGCAGCAUUCGAAUAUGGAUUUUGUCAACAAAGUGAACUGUCUAAUAAGUGUGUUUCAGAUCCUCGUGUGUAAACUGACAAGAGAAAAUGUCAUAUUUUGCAGACUUCUGCUAUAUAGAAGAGAUAAAUGGUGCUUCCGGUGACUACUGUGAUGAAAACAACAGGGAAUACCCAUGUGUUGCAGGCAAGAAAUACUAUGGCCGCGGACCACUCCAACUAUCAUGGAACUACAACUAUGGGCCAGCCGGAAGGAGCAACAACUUUGAUGGAUUGAACAAUCCUGACAUUGUAGCAAGGGAUGCGGUUGUGUCAUUUAAGACAGCCUUAUGGUUUUGGAUGAACAGAGUUCGUCCUGUUGUAAGCCAAGGUUUUGGAGCAACUAUUCGAGCCAUUAAUAGUAUAGAAUGCAAUGGUGGAAACGCAGGUGCUGUUCAGGCUCGUGUUAGAUAUUAUAGAGAUUAUUGCAGUCAACUCGGCGUUUCUACUGAGAAUAACCUCACUUGCUAGGUUUUUAAAUAACCUGAGUUGUUAUGCCAAGUUAUGGCUAAUCAUAUGAAAAUAAGAUGUACUGCUAUGAAACAAAUUGAAGAGAAAUAAAGUUUAUAAUUAUCGUUAUGUCUCGUAUAGUUUUUCAGUAAUUUUGAUGUCCCUUUUCAUAUUUGUUUUUAUUACUUGGAAAAACCUCCACUUUACUUCGCCAUAAAUUUGUGUUGAAAUUCAAUUUACGCCUUGUACGUAUUUUAUUUUCCAUCAAUUGAGUCCAUUAUAACCAAAAGAUUGUCCAUCCAACCCAAUAUAUUAGCAAUUUGAAAUUGAAAUCACUAUAUGUGUGCAUAUUCAUUUAAUUUAUUCUUCCAUUUCCAUAAUACAUUUUUCAAAUUUAUGUUAAUAUCCAUAGUAGGAUCUACUCUAAUUAAUUACUUCUCGAGUAAAACAAAAUUUCAUGAUUAUGACAUUUUUUCUUUUUAUGUUUUUGAAAAUGAAAGGUUGUGUUGCCUUGCCUAUUAUGUUUAUAAUACAUGUUCAGCUUACUUUUCAUCUUUCAAAUUUGGUUGAUGCAGAGUGUUUUUUAAAAUGAUUUUUAUUUAAAAAUAUAUUAAAAUUAUAUUUUAUUUUUCAUAUUAGUAUAUUCAAACAAUAAAAAAAACUUUUUCAAAAACAAAUUAAAAUUUAAAAAAUACAGUGCAACCGCACUUCUAAACAACACCGAAGUUAAAAAGAAACUAAGUUGUGGUUUUUUAGAUGUUAAGAGCCUAUUUGAGAACACGGUGUAAACCACAUUCUUUUAAAUUUAAAAAAAAUUGCUAAAAUUUAUUUUUUUAUGUCUUGAGAUUUUUUAAUGUGUUAAUGUUAAAAUAAUUUUAAAAAUUAAAAAAUAAAAAAUAUAUAUUUUUUAAAAAACAACUUUAGACUGCAACAACUAUUGAAAUUUUAAACAGUCCAUAAGAAAUUGAAUUGAAUUGUACAGGAUCUUUGCCAUGGAAUCACUAUUGGGAUUAUUUAGUGGUUCAAAAUCAUGUUGAGCUAGCCGACGUUGAAAAUCAUCAAUAUUAAUGGAGAGACUUUUCAAAGAAGUUGUCAAGUCCAUUUCUGACAUGAUAGCAAUUAUGGAUUGGGGUCCAUGUCCAUGUACCAACAUUGUAUAGAUCAUGAACCAAGUUUAAUGUCAAAGGAUCGAUUUGCCAGGAAAAAAAAAUUGAAAAAUGAAAAAUUAGGCAACUUGCUGUGAUUUCCUUUUGCUUCCCUAUUAUCGUAUUGUUCGGCGGUGCUAGGCCAUGUGCUUGGCUCACUUGACCGGCAGCACUAUAUGUUGACCAAAGCAAAUAUGAUCUUUUCCAAGAUAUACGAUAUGGCCGCAGUGUGGUCAAAUAUCUUGGUAGUGUUGAUUAAUGGAGAGCUAAAGCCACAGCCCACCCAUUUCUUAUCCACCUAGCCAGAUGAGGAAGAAACGAUGGCUCCUAUUUUACUUAUUUUUCAGCUGCAAGAGCUGAGUUGUAGUAAGGUGGAAUGAGUUGACAUGACAUGUGUUGGAAUGAGCUGUAUCUAUCCCAACUCGUUGCAUGUUUUGGUUAUAAAAUCUUUUUAAAAGUAUUUCUAAGUUUUUUUUUGUUAUAUAUUUUUAAUUUUUAUUAAUUUUUUAGUGUUUUAAAAUUAUUUUGAUGUAUCGAUAUUAUAAAAAAAAUUUAAAAAAUAAAAAUUUAUUAUUUUAAUGUAUUUUUAAAUAAAAUAUACUUUUAAAAACAAAAUUUAAAUUAGCAGUAAAAACACAACAUAAAUGUGACAAAACACAGUGAGCUAAACACCAAGAGAAAGAGUGUUUAUCCAACCUAGUUAAAUCUUAGGCGUCGAUUCUGGGCAUCCAUUUUAAUCCUGACCGUUAGCUACAAAAACUGGAAAAAGAAAGGAGCACUAGAAGACGGCUUCAGUUUUAUCUUUUUCUAUCCUUUCAUUUAUGGUACGUUGAAAGGUUGUCUUCUCUAUCUUAAAAAUAUAUAGGGAGGGGACGUAGAUUUCGGGUAAUUGGCUAGUCAACGUCGGCUAUGCCCAUACUGUGCCAUUGGGCGCCACUAUCCUUCCAUUUAUGGUAAUUGACUAUUCAACGUUUUUCUUUUCACAUAGUUGUGGGGUGUCUACUCUUCGAAUGGGGUUCUUCUAGUCCUAGAUAGGAUACUACCUUUUCUUUCGUUAGGAGAUAGGAUUUGUCAUACUUUUUCCCUUCAAAUGCUGAAAUUAUUAAAAAAUAAUAUAAAUUAAAUCUCAUUUAAUAACUUAAAUUUUUUGAUUGAAAUGAUUUUUUGAUAUUUUUAAAUUUUUUGAUUGAAAUGAUUUUUUGAUAUAAUAUCAAUACUUUGAUAACUAAAUGGUCACGAGUUUGAAUUUCACAAUCUCUAUUUAUUUGAUAAAAAUUAAACACAGGAUAAUGUAGACAUGUAUAAGUUUUAAGCUCAAAAGACUUUUAUAUGAGGGAAUGUGUUAGAAAAUAAUAUAAAUCAUAUUCUAGAACUUUAUUUAAUAAUUUAAACUUUUAGAUUGAGAUGGUUAUUUGAUAAAAUUGACAUGAUAAGGUACCAAUUAAGUCUGUGUCUUUAUGUGGACAAGAUUUCUAUUUUCUUGCCUAACUACAAAGUUUACUUGAAAUGGUAGUGAUUGAUUAUCCUUUCCUAGUUGUUUGAAAAGUAAUACGCACGUGCCAGCAAUGGCCCUGCAGGUAAUGGCGCCACAAAUGGUUUGGGAAAUUAAACUCCUUGCCCUCUCUAGGGCCUAGAUUUGUCUCCGCUGAUAGUGUGCUAAAGAAUUUAAAAGAAUUGGUAUUAGUAUUGUGAGUUUGAAGAAAAUUAGAGAAAUGAAAAAAAAAUGAGGGCGGCUAAAUUAUGGCUCUGUAAUUGGCUCUUCCAUAGACUGUAGUGGUCAGCGCCUUUGGAUUGCAAACAUCUAUGCUUCUAGAAAUCUUGAACUUCCAGUUUGUUAAGAGUUUUUAUCUAGUCACCCACGAUGGUCUGUAAUGAACUGAACAACCUAGUCAUUGAGAAGCCUAUAACACUUUAUGCAAGUCUCCAAGUGAACAAAUUUGCAGAUUAUGCUUGUCUCCUAGCAUUGAAAAUUCCCACGUUCGUAAAGCUUUUGAGGAUACUAUGAAGCUCAUCCCAUAUGAUUCCCAUCUAUCGAGUGCUGUAACAUCACAAUUCAAAGUUAAAACUUCAUGUUGAUUCAAAAAAAACUAAUGUUAAGAUAUCCAAAAGCCUUGAAAUGAUUUGAGAAUUUCAAGUGUUAGACAAAAAAUCCACCAUGAGUGAUUGGAUGUUCAAAUAUCUUAUGCGCUGCGACAAGGUCGGAUGUUAGAAAUAUGGGUGAACUCUCCCUCCAGUUUUUAUAAAACACUUUAAAAAAAAAAAAAAUCAUGAGGUUGCCUUCUUCACUCUCGCCUGUAAUAUGGGCUCUCAAAAUUGAAUGUGGAGCUGGAACCACUCGUCUCAUUAUCUUCAAGAUCUUCUAAAUCCUUAUUUAUUAAGUAAUGGUCACUUUUGAAACUUCCCUUUACAAAUCUUUAUUCACUAAGUUAUGACAGUUUUGUUCUUGGGCAGAACCUCCUCAACCAUAAUUAAUUCCCCUCUGCCAUAACCAUGUUUUGCGUUGUGAUCUCUAGCCAUAGUAGUUCAGCAACAUUAAAAAAAAGAAGGAACAAUAGGAUAUGAUACCAACUUGCACAAUUUAAACUAAUUAGACUGGGAAUAAAAAAAAAACAUGGGAAGAUAGAAUUCACCAAAAGGGCCAAACAAGAACCCUAGCUACAUUGUUAUUUUCAGAAUAUAUUCCUCCACCAAAAUCUACCUCAUAAAAAUAUUUUCAAUAACUUAAAUAGGUCUAUCUUCUCGAUCAAAAUGGAAAAAAUAAUCUUACAUGGAUAGAAAAAUUAAAAGCUAAAAUUUGAAAUAAAUAAAAACUAAAACUAAAAAAAAUAGCAAUUUAUAAAUCUAAUUUGAAAGUCUUGAUAACCUCAACGAGCCAAUAUUUCACUAUAGAAUAGAUCUGCAUAAUCUUUUAAUGAAAUUUAAAUAUGAUCUAAUAAUUAAAUAAAAUAUUAUGUUUAUUUUUAUCAGAAAUGUUAUUUGGAGUGACUAAAUCUUUUCUUGAGUUUGAACUUUUUAUUUAAUCCAUAAAUGUAUUUAUUAGGUAUUUUAUAUACUCUGAUUAUUAUUCUUGUACAUUAAUAUUAGGAAUAACCACAAUAAAUAUUGGUAUGGGAAAUUAAACUCCUUAGAAUUACCUUACCCAACUCUGAAGCCCUAGAUGUACAUGGCGUGGUAAAGGAUUUAAAAGAUAUGGUAUUAGUGUAUGGGAAAGAAAUUAAACUGAGAACUUGGCUCUGCCUCGGUGCUCAGUACCAUUCGAUCUCUAACAUCUAUGCAUGCUUCUAGAAAUUUUGAGCUCCUAGUCCGUUCAAAGUUUUUUUUAGCAGCCUUCCUUGAUGAUCUAUAUGAACCGAACAAUCAAGUCAUUGAGAAGCCUACAACACUUAGCCUAGUCCCUAACUUUGUGGCGCAUUGAGUGGAAGAAAUUUUCAACGUUUGACUCCAAGUAGUCACUCAUUUACGCUGUUUAGAAUCCAAGUUAAAUUUCCAUGUUGAUAAAAAAAAUAAAGUUAAGAUGGCAAAAUUCGCUGAAUCCGUACUUCAUGAAAUUUUAAUUAUUACAUAGGAAAAUACAUGUCCAAAGUUAAAAACACAUUAUAUUAUUCAAUGAACUGUAAUAUAAAUUGAUAGUUGAAAUAUAAGGUUGUGUUGCACUCAUGAAAUGAAAUGAUAGAAAGAUCUGAUUUAGUGUUAGGUUUUAAGCCAAUAGAAUUAGUUUGAAAGGAUAAUAUUAAUUGUUUUUUAAAAUGAUUUUUUGUUUGAAAAUAUAUUUAAAAAAUAUAUUAUUUUUAUAUUAGGACAUCAAAAUAAUAUAAAAAUAACAAAAAAAUUAAUUUAAAAUAAAAUAAAAUUAAUUUUUUAAAAAAUACUUUUAAAACCUAAACAAUUUUCUCAGUCUUGUCUUCUAACAUAAAAAUAUAUAUAUAUAUUAUGAAGCCAACAGUAUCAAUCACAUAAUCCAUUAUCUGUCAGAGUCUCGGUACUUGAGGGAUUUGAUCCCAUAUGACACAAGCCUGGUGACUUUACUAAUCAGCUCUUUUCUAGGUUUCUUGCGGGUUUUUUUUAUCAGUAAUCCUUCUCCAAUUUGUCGUCUCAAACUGGUUUUUAAUAUCUAUUUGAUGAUCAAAGAAAAGAAAAGGCCUAAUCAUCUAACAAGUAGUUUUAAUUCUAUUUCUGUAUAUUUCUACUUAAAAUAUAUUAAAAAAUAAUAUAAAUCAUAUAUUAAAACUUUAUUUAAUAAUUUAAGUUAUUAAGUUAAGAUGAUUCUUUAACAUGAUAUCAAAGUAUUGAUGACCAAGUGGUCAUGAGUUUAAAUCUCAUUAUCUCUAUUCAUUUGAUAAAAAAUAAGCACAAGGUAAUAUGGUCUUGUGGAAGUUUAAAGCCCAAAGAGCUUUCAAUUGAAAGGGUGUGUUAGAGAAUAAUAUAAAUCAUAUCUUGAGAUCUUAUCUAACAGUUUAAACUUGUGGGUUAAGAUGAUUUUUUGACAGAGUAAAAAUAUAAGCAUAGUAAUAAAUAUCUUCCAAGUUUAUUACUGCGGAUCAACUCAACAACCUACCAAUUAAAUAUUUUAUUUUAUUUUAAAUUGGUUUUUUUAUGAAAAUAAUAUAAAAUAUUUUAAAAAAAUCAUAAUUUAGAAUGACUUGCCAACCCUUCUACGAACCGAAUCUCGGAUUGGAUUGAUAUCUAGUUUGUAGUUUAUAACUAAGAACGUGAGAUGUAUCUCUUGCCAUCAAGGCAUUUAGAAUUUUCAUAUCUAUCGCUAUAAGGUGCUUUGUAGUUUCAUAAAACUUUGCUUAGUGAACCUACUUUUGUCGUUAUAAGUCAUCUAAGCAGACCCGUAUUCUACACGCACAAAUAUGCAUAAAAAUCUACAUGCUAUCCUGCUAUAUAUGGCCCAAACCAAACCUUAUUUUUCCAUCCAGAUUUUUUACCCUUAAUUAAAUAAAAAAACACCUUGCUUACCUUAUGUUUUCUCUUAACAUGGGAAACAAUGUACUAUCCAUCAUUCUGGCUAUGAUGCUGGCUGUAACCAUGCCGCAGUUGAUAGUGUCUCAAAAUUGUGGUUGUGCUCCCAACUUGUGCUGUAGUCAGUUUGGCUUCUGCGGCACCGGUGAUGCUUAUUGUGGCCAAGGAUGCCGGGAGGGACCUUGUACCUCAGCACCUAGUACCCCUAGCACGCCUAGUAACAAUGAUGUUACGGUGGCUGAUGUUGUUACACCGGAAUUCUUCAACGGUAUAAUCAAUCAAGCCGGGGGAGAUUGUGCCGGGAAGAGCUUCUACACACGAGAUGCGUUUCUCAGUGCCCUCAAUUCUUAUUCUCAGUUUGGCAAGAUUGGAUCAAAUGACGAUUCCAAACGUGAGAUUGCAGCAUUUUUUGCUCACGUCACGCAUGAGACCGGACGUAAGAUCUCUUAAAUCUCAUCUAUAUAUAUAUAUGUAUAUUGUCACACAUCACACCUUCAGUAAACAACAUAAUAAUAAUAAUAAUAAUCAUAUAGCAGUUAAAAACUUUAUUAACAUGCAUACAAACUUGGAAAUGCUAUAGUUGCUAGAGAAUGAUCGUUAUGAUAUGAACACAAGCAUAACCAUACAUCUCAAAGUUAACAAAUGGAUGUGUUUUGCUUGGUUUACAGACUUCUGCUACAUAGAAGAAAUAAACGGUGCCUCUCAGGACUACUGUGAUGAGACCAAUACACAGUAUCCAUGCAACCCGAACAAGAAAUACUUUGGCCGUGGACCUCUUCAACUAACAUGGAAUUACAAUUACGGGGCGGCUGGAGGGGCAAACAACUUUGAUGGACUAAACUCUCCUGAAACUGUGGCCAAUGAUCCUGUUGUGUCGUUCAAGACUGCCUUAUGGUUUUGGAUGACUAAUGUCCGCCCUGUGGUCACUCAAGGGUUUGGUGCGACGAUUAGAGCCAUUAAUGGUGCAGUUGAAUGUAAUGGUGGAAAUUCUGGUGCUGUUCAAGCUCGAAUUGGGUAUUACACAGAUUAUUGUAACCAGUUUGGCGUUGCACCUGGCGAUAAUCUAAGCUGUUAGGUUACAUUAUGCAUAUUAUAGUAUAGCAAUGAAAUGAAAUGGAAUCUACCUUCUGCCAUUUCUCGAAUGUAAGGUGGGAUACCCAGUGGUGUUCUGUAACUCUCGAUCGAGUUCGAUGUAUUUCUUGGAAUGGAUUUUAUAGAUAAAUAAAUGAAAUAAAGGCAUCACAUAAUUGAUUUUGCUUAUAAUGUAUUUGCUGGCUUAAUCGUUG